rnacentral:ncRNA from 1 species
AGGAAUUCGUAGCACAUAGGUGUCGGAUGAAUAGUUAACUAGUUAACUAUUCAUCCGACUGAAAAGGGAAUCUGGUGAAAUUCCAGAACUGUCCCCGCAACUGUAAUUGUGGACGAAAUGAGAUCACCACUGUGCCUAUAAUGAUGCAUGGGAAGGCUCAAAGUAGAAAGAAGCAUAAGUCAGUAGACCUGCCUAAUGAGCUCGUAGUUU